rnacentral:rRNA from 1 species
UACGUAGGUGGCAAGCGUUGUCCGGAAUUAUUGGGCGUAAAGGGCGCGUAGGCGGUCUUGUAAGUCAGCUGUGAAAGCCCGGGGCUCAACCCCGGAGGGUCGGCUGAUACUGCAGGACUGGAGUACGGAAGAGGUAGCUGGAAUUCCCGGUGUAGCGGUGAAAUGCGUAGAGAUCCGGAGGAACACCGACGGCGUAGGCAGCGCCCUGGACGACACCUGACGCUGAGGCACGAAAGCUGGGGGAGCGAACAGG